GACGAACGCUGGCGGCGUGCUUAACACAUGCAAGUCGAACGAAAAGGCCCUGCGCUUGUUGGGUGCUCGUGUGGCGAACGGGUGAGUAACACGUGAGUAACCUGCCCUUGACUUUCGGAUAACAUCACGAAACUGGGGCUAAUACCGGAUAGGAUCUACUGCUGCAUGGGGGGCGUUGGAAAGUUUCGGCCGUUGGGGAUGGACUCGCGGCUUAUCAGCUUGUUGGUGGGGUAGUGGCUUACCAAGGCUUUGACGGGUAGCCGGCCUGAGAGGGUGACCGGCCGCCUUGGGCCUGAGAUACGGCGCAGUCUGCUAUGGUCGGCAGUAGUGGGGAGUAUUGCACAGUGGGGGGGAGCCUGAUGCAGAAGCGCUCCGUGCGUAAAGACGUCUUUCGGGGUAAAAACCGCUGUCGCAGGUGCUAAAGAGUGAGUGACGGUACUGAGUAAAGAAGCAACGGCUAACUACGUG
rnacentral:rRNA from 1 species